GCAAUGUAAGACAUGCCUCCUUCCCCUUCCACCAUGAUUGUACAUUUCCUGAGGCCUCUCCAGCCAUAGAGAACUUUUUGGAGGCUGAGCCAUCUAGAAUUGAGGGGUUGCAACUGCUUAGCUACCUCCUGCUGCAACAUCCCAUGGCAGAAGCAGAAGUCUGUGAGUGGAUAUUCUGUUUUCACAACUCUUUGUUUAAGAGACCAUCUUUUUCCCUCUUGGCAUCCUUAUUAAAAUACAUUUCACCUUAUAUGGCAGAGUUCAUGUCUUCACUAUUUUAUUCCACUGG
rnacentral:lncRNA from 1 species